GAGAGAAGGAGAGCGAGAGCAAGAGCAGCCUGCAGACUUUGCAAAACUUUCCAUAUAGCUCGUAAAAUAGCAUGUUCGGGAAAGAAAUAUGGCUGCAGCCAUAAUGUGCCAUGCUGUCUGAACUGGAGAAGUUGUGGACACAAAUGGCCCUCCUUUCAUGGAAUGACACACAGCCAUUCAGCCCUAUUUGAAGAGCUCCACAUCCCCUCUUCACUGGGCACGGCAACAAUUGCUGGCCCAGCUCUUCCCAAAACACUAACCAACUAGGUCAAGCUGACCAAGGAGUUUAAAAUGACACUGAAG
ensembl:lncRNA